UGACCCCCAUCUACUGUAGGUAAUACACUGACUAUGGAUAAUUACCUCAUACGACCCCAUUUCAAAACUUUCAAAACUAUCCCUUUAAGUAGCCUACACUUCUUGACUAGAUGGCCUGUGCUGUGAAUAAUGUAGCUUAUGUCAAUGAUUGUGUUGGGUUUAAAUUUUUGUCUCUCUGUCUGUCACUGACCGGAGGUACGGAGCAGUCAGGUGUAGGACAUGGAGGCGUUUGUCCUCGAUUGGAGUUGAACGUCGACUUAGUCCGGUGCCGUACUGGACGGUCCACCUGGUCGCCAUAGGAACGGUCCUGAUAGACAAGCUCGGAGCUCUGCUGCGUCGUCUCUUUGGAGGAUCUGAUGGUGUUGGAGUCCAGAGCCAGACCACAGACCAGAGACACGCACAGGACGCUACGCCACAGCCACAUCAUCCUCCGAGCGAUUGAUCAAUCAAUCACUCCUCUAUCAACUAUCAAUCACUGGAUCCUGCUUCUGUCUGCUACUGUCCCUCUGAGGUUCUUCAGGUUUGUUUUUUAUACCCUUCCCUCUCCCCUCUGAUCCGUCCCGUCUCUCAGAAGUUUUGAAGGUGCGUUUGAAGCUCGACCGCAUCAGUCGGCGGAGCCAGCGCCGCCUUCGCUUCCUUCCUGGAAGCCCCGCGGGCGGCCUCAGGUGAGGGUGGGACGUUUGAUACAUGACACCGCAGAGACCACUGAGAGAUUACAACACACCUGGAGACACGA